GAGGGAGGAGUAACUGAGUGCACACUACAGGAGAAAGGAUGCAGUACAUAUCCUUCCAAAAUGACAGAGCCAACUGUGUCCCAUUCAGUAAAUGAGGGCUUGCACUGACUGACACGACGAGUCUGAUAGUGGUACGAACCAACAAACAGAGUUCAGUCUGUUGCAAGUGAACUGGGCAUGGAACAGACAGACUGGUGCACAGUCUCAGGAGGGAUGGUUGUCAGCUGCUAAAAUCAUCCAGAGCAUCUCAAUAUGUCCUGGACAGUGGUCAGCUCCAAUGUGUUCACCUACAGAGUGAUCCAAUGCCACAACCUGCUGGAUGAUGGGAACGACCCACUGCUGUGUGGUCAUAUAGAGGACCAGGAGGAGCUCAAGGCCAUCAGAAGCAACACCAAGCGCAUCAACGGCUUCAUUGUCAUUGAUGAGGCAGUCAAUCAGCUCUAUGGCUCCCAGGUCACCAGGUACUUUGAUGCCAGAAAUGUUCUCUAUAGGAUCCUCCCACUGCCCACUACAGAGGAGAACAGGUCCAUUAAAUGUUCUCUAUAGGAUCAUCCCACUGCCCACUACAGAGGAGAACAGGUCAAUUAAAUGCUUCCAGUCCUGUGACCAGAAGACCAGUGGCUGCUGUGACAUGGAGGAUGCUGCCACUACAUCCCCACAGAUUGCCAUAGAAAUCAUGCUAGAGGAGUUGGCUCCCAACCUAUGGGAAGAUGACCUGGACAGACUGGUGGACAUUGGCCACCUAGUCAGCCCUGAGCUACGAAUGGUAAAACGUUUAUUACUGAGUUAAUAUGGAAAGGAUAUGAAAGGAUGGAGAAAACGGCAUCAGGGAAGAAAGUGCUGACUGUGCUGCUCCACGGGGAGGCGUGAACAUCGACAUUUCCUUCAUGGUGUACGUGGCCCACCAGAAAGGGCUCCAGACGGAAGAGGAGAAGGCGUGGAUCAGCCGCUGCAUGAUGGAGCUGGAGCUGCCUGUGUGGCACCAAGACUGCACUCUGGCCCUGGUGCAGGAGUCUUUAAACACUCUGCAGGGUCCCUGAGGAUGCCUCUUCAUACAGGACUGUGCAGGUCUGGACAUAUUUCCUUUAAAGGGGAAAGAUAUGUACCCAUUGAUUAUUGAAGAAUAUAAUUUAUAAAUGCCUCAUGAGCUAAGUUUAACUGUCUUACCCCAUCAGAACCCAAAAUAUAAGCUUGUUUUACUCCUAUUUUUGUAAACAAAAUAAAUGUAAACAAACAGCCUCAAAACAUGGUUAUAUCAGUAAUUGUGAUGUCAUCGAUGGUCUGUCCUUGCAACAAUAGCUUCCUCUUUGAAUUUGAGAGUGGUUACAUUUCUCCCACCCCAUCCCUCAGCUUUUUACCAAAAUAGGGGUGGGGAGCCCACUUUUUUAUUGUCUCAACUGCUGAUUGACGCUUUAAGAACACCAU